rnacentral:rRNA from 3 species
ACGGGUGCGUAACGCGUGGGAAUCUGCCCUUGGGUACGGAAUAACUCAGAGAAAUUUGUGCUAAUACCGUAUAAUGUCUUCGGACCAAAGAUUUAUCGCCCAAGGAUGAGCCCGCGUAAGAUUAGCUAGUUGGUGAGGUAAAAGCUCACCAAGGCGACGAUCUUUAGCUGGUCUGAGAGGAUGAUCAGCCACACUGGGACUGAGACACGGCCCAGACUCCUACGGGAGGCAGCAGUGGGGAAUAUUGGACAAUGGGCGAAAGCCUGAUCCAGCAAUGCCGCGUGAGUGAUGAAGGCCUUAGGGUUGUAAAGCUCUUUUACCCGGGAUGAUAAUGACAGUACCGGGAGAAUAAGCUCCGGCUAACUCCGUGCCAGCAGCCGCGGUAAUACGGAGGGAGCUAGCGUUGUUCGGAAUUACUGGGCGUAAAGCGCGCGUAGGCGGUUUUUUAAGUCAGAGGUGAAAGCCCGGGGCUCAACCCCGGAAUAGCCUUUGAAACUGGAAAACUUGAAUCUUGGAGAGGUCAGUGGAAUUCCGAGUGUAGAGGUGAAAUUCGUAGA